AGUCACUGACAUUAGAUACCCGCGUAGUCCUAGCCGUAAACGAUACUCGCUAGGUGUCGGCCACGGUGCGACCGUUGUCGGUGCCGUAGGGAAGCCGUGAAGCGAGCCACCUGGGAAGUACGGCCGCAAGGCUGAAACUUAAAGGAAUUGGCGGGGGAGCACCACAACGGGUGGAGCUUGCGGUUUAAUUGGAUUCAACGCCGGAAAUCUUACCGGGACCGACAGCAACAUGAAGGCCAGGCUGAAGACUUUGCCGGAUUAGCUG
rnacentral:rRNA from 1 species